GACGAACGCUGGCGGCGUGCCUAAUACAUGCAAGUCGAACGGAUAGGCCCUGCCUUUGUGGGCUGCAUGAGUGGCGAACGGGUGAGUAACACGUGAGUAACCUGCCCUUGACCUUGGGAUAACUUUUGGAAACUGGGGCUAAUACCGGAUAGCAGCUCAUGUUGCAUGGUGUGGGUUGGAAAGUUUCGGUGGUUGGGGAUGGACUCGGGACUUAUCAGCUUGUUGGUGAGGUAGUGGCUUACCAUGGCUUUGACGGGUAGCCGGCCUGGGAGGGUGACCGGCCACAUUGGGACUGAGAUACGGCCCAGACUCCUACGGGAGGCAGCAGUGGGGAAUAUUGCACAAUGGGCGGAAGCCUGAUGCAGCAACGCCGCGUGCGGGAUGACGGCCUUCGGGUUGUAAACCGCUUUCGCCUGUGACGAAGCGUGAGUGACGGUAAUGGGUAAAGAAGCACCGGCUAACUACGUG
rnacentral:rRNA from 1 species